AUAUGGAGAGCUAUCAACUUGAGACAGAGAUAAACAAAGUCACUGUGACAGGAAACGUUACCCCUGAUGAAGUAGUCAAGGCUCUGCAGAAGAUUGGGAAGACCGCAACAAACUGGGGUGAAGACUGAAGAGCUAAAUAGUAUUCCAGUAUUUUGCUAGCUAGUAUAGUUGAUGACUUGAUGUCCUUAGUCCUUACCAGGGUUACUAGGAGCUAUUUAUGCUGCAGAUAUAUGAAUACUAAUUCACAUAAAGUGAGUAAACUCGUCAUUGCUUGCUCUCGCUCAGCAGUUGACUGACGCAAUGGGCUACGUGUUGCCGUGUUACAUUACCUCCUCUGAAGCGUAUCUGAUUUGUUUACAAAAUCUUCCAGAUGAUGAGACAAAUUUUUGUACGUUUUCAUGGGAAAUAUGCAUGACAACUCUCUUUACUCAGAAAAGAACAAAGGUUAUAUGGUUCAGUUUUAUCUUAAAAUCAAAUUCUAAAAUUCAGAAUCCACUUCAGGUUGAGCGCCUUAAUUGUAUGCGUAGACCAUUUUUUCUCGAGAGAAUGAUUUGAUUUACGCAAUUCAAUCAGUGGUUGGUGCUUGUUCUUAAAAAUAAAUAAAAAGAGAAGGUUGGGACUGACGGGCCUGAAUUCUGCUGCUUCUUGCGGUUCUUGCAAACAAGAGCUGCAAAAGCAGGUUGUUGGUUGUGCUCCGCCUCCAAGCGAUACAUAUCUCUACGUACAAUGUUUGGCACUGUUUAUGGAGAGAGAGAGAAGGUUUUAGGCUGAAACCUGAAAGUCAAGCUAACACCGGGGAGUGUGACACUAUAGAUUGACCGACACUGUUCUUCGUACCUAGUAUAACCAUGCAAUUAAGCAAUCAUACAGGCGUCAGGAACUUGAGAUCGCCCAGCUGGCCCCCUCAACAAGACAACGACUCCAUUUCAUGACCGUUCAGAGCAUCCCAACAGCUCAUCCAUCUCAUCCUCCAUCCUAGAAAUAGAGGAUGAAGAGUAAAAGUUGAGCUCCAACAGAUCAUCUAUCUCAUGAUCUAUUUUUGGAUGUCAUCCAUAUUAGAAGAGAGAAACUCUAUAUUUAGAUGUUCUUUCUCCAAUCCUUCAAAUAGAUAUAGAUGAUGCCAUAUAUAGAUGAUCUGCUAGAGUACAAAGGGAUAUGAAGGAUAAGAGUGUUUUAGAUGAUCAUGCAAAUAAAGAUAUGGAUGACCAAAUUUAGAUGAGCUGUUGGGGAUGCUUUUAGUUCCUAACAAAUUUUGGCUGAGAGGUCGUAUCGGUACGUACGGUUAUAUAUUUGAUGUAUUAAACAUAGUCUAGUUAUAAAAUAAAUUUUAGAUUUCGCCUAAAAUCACGAGAGCUACCCGAACAUGUGAAUAAAAAUUUUAUAUACAUAUUCUUUGCAAUUUAAAGCAAAUGCUGGAAAAUAAACUUCGGUAAAAAUACUUUAAAAUCAACUUCAUUUUUAAAAUUAAAAAUUUAAAUCUUGAUCUAUAAACAUAAACAAAACUGAAAAGAUGGGGUGCUUAACGAGUUUCAGUAACUUCAGAGAAGGAAUUAUAGUUGGAGCCAGAUCAAAAGCAGAUUCUUAUCUGGACCACAGCGGCCUUCGGCAAUAUGGAUUGGUAGUGUACCGCUCUCUUCGUUCUAAAAUAAACCAAUUUUUUACUUUUUAUCUUUAAUUUUUGACUCUUCGUCUUAUUUAAAUUUUUUUAAUUGAUAUUUUUAUUUUUAUUAGAUGAUAAAUCAUGAAUAGUACUUUACGUGUGACUAAUUAUUUUCUAAUUUUCUAAAAAAAUUUAAAAUAAGACGGAUGAUCAAACGUUGGACAUAGAAACAAACAGAGAAUUCGUUUUUUUCUAGAGGGAGUACACCUUUUCAAGAAUGAAAUGUAUAAACAAAGUGAAUAUAUGCUGUAGCUGUAUGUGCUUUUGUUUUCACGGUGGAGAACAAAAGUUGCUCUUGCUUGCAGAAAGGAGGAAAGUACGGUCACAGCUAUUUAAGCUUCGGAACAGAGAGACACACAUACACAGAUACACUUCGAAGCUGGGUGUGCUUGUGAAGUACACAGUAGAGCAGUCAAUCUCCUGCUCUACUCUCCAAAACACCAGCCAUGGCUGUAAGUUUUAUAUACGUUCUCAUGUGUACGCAUCAAUUCUGUAUAUGUAUUAGUUGUCACUCAUAAUGCUUCUCCACAACAAGAGCCUGAUUUUUUUCCCUUUUUUUUUGUGCGACAGGUGGUGGAGUUGAAGGUUGGGAUGCACUGCGACAGGUGCAUCAAGGCGAUUAAGAAGGCAAUUAAAAAGAUCGACGGUAGGCCUGUUGUUCCGCUGAACCAGUCAUUGUUAUACGGCACAAAACAUGCAGUUCAGCACUUGUAUCAUAUGGUUGCAUAAUCAUCCGUGCUUCCUGUGUAAAAAUGCACAGAUAUGGAGAGCUAUCAACUUGAGACAGAGAUAAACAAAGUCACUGUGACAGGAAACGUUACCCCUGAUGAAGUAGUCAAGGCUCUGCAGAAGAUUGGGAAGACCGCAACAAACUGGGGUGAAGACUGAAGAGCUAAAUAGUAUUCCAGUAUUUUGCUAGCUAGUAUAGUUGAUGACUUGAUGUCCUUAGUCCUUACCAGGGUUACUAGGAGCUAUUUAUGCUGCAGAUAUAUGAAUACUAAUUCACAUAAAGUGAGUAAACUCGUCAUUGCUUGCUCUCGCUCAGCAGUUGACUGACGCAAUGGGCUACGUGUUGCCGUGUUACAUUACCUCCUCUGAAGCGUAUCUGAUUUGUUUACAAAAUCUUCCAGAUGAUGAGACAAAUUUUUGUACGUUUUCAUGGGAAAUAUGCAUGACAACUCUCUUUACUCAGAAAAGAACAAAGGU
rnacentral:lncRNA from 1 species